rnacentral:rRNA from 1 species
GACGAACGCUGGCGGCGUGCUUAACACAUGCAAGUCGAACGGAAAGGCCCCUCCGGGGGUACUCGAUCGGCGAACAGGUGAGUAACACGUGAGUAACCUGCCCUUGACUUCGGGAUAACUUCAGGAAACUGGGUCUAAUACAUGAUAGGAAUCCUUGCUGCAUGGUGGGGGUUGGAAAGCUUCGGCGGUUUUGGAUGGACUCGCGGCUUAUCUGCUUGUUGGUGGGGUAGUGGCUUACCAAGGCUUUGACGGGUAGCCGGCCUGAGAGGGCGACCGGCCACAUUGGGGCUGGGAUACGGGCCAGACUCCUACGGGGGGGAGGAGUGGGGGAUAUUGCACCAUGGGCGGAAGCCCGAUGCAGCAACGCCGCGUGCGGGAUGACGGCCUUCGGGUUGUAAAACGCUUUCAGCAGGGGCGAAGCUUGUGGUGACGGUACCUGCAGAAGAAGCACCGGCUAACUACGUG